rnacentral:rRNA from 1 species
AUUGAACGCUGGCGGCAGGCUUAACACAUGCAAGUCGAGCGGGCGAGGUUGCUUCGGUAACUGAGCUAGUGGCGGACGGGUGAGUAAUGCUUAGGAAUCUGCCUAUUAGUGGGGGACAACAUUCCGAAAGGAAUGCUAAUACCGCAUACGCCCUACGGGGGAAAGCAGGGGAUCUUCGGACCUUGCGCUAAUAGAUGAGCCUAAGUCAGAUUAGCUAGUUGGUGGGGUAAAGGCCUACCAAGGCGACGAUCUGUAGCGGGUCUGAGAGGAUGAUCCGCCACACUGGGACUGAGACACGGCCCAGACUCCUACGGGAGGCAGCAGUGGGGAAUAUUGGACAAUGGGCGGAAGCCUGAUCCAGCCAUGCCGCGUGUGUGAAGAAGGCCUUUUGGUUGUAAAGCACUUUAAGCGAGGAGGAGGCUACUUGGAUUAAUACUCUAGGAUAGUGGACGUUACUCGCAGAAUAAGCACCGGCUAACUCUGUGCCAGCAGCCGCCGUAA